GCCCUUAUGUUUCUCCCUGUAUUGAGUUACAUAAUAUAUCCUAAUGUCACUGAUCUUAAUAAUAAUAUAACAAUACCAGCUCCUACCACUACAUACAAUAUACCUGAUGCUACACUAGGAUCAGUAUAUACUGUUGGAGUGGCUGCUAGCAAUGUAUUAGGAAUAGAUACUACUGAUUUUGCAUCAGCUACAAUAAUGAUAAUUUCAACUGCAAUGACUGAAAUGUUUUCAUCUACUAUAUCAUUUCCUGCUAUAUCUACUUCUUCCCUCACUUCUGCAGGCACUGUUAGUAAUUCUGUUCCUUCCGCUACAAGUAGUACAUUAAUGAGUACAACAAUAAUGUCACCUUCUAGUAGCAAUAAUGUACCUGGUAAGCUUAUAAUACUUUACAUUAUAAUAUUAAUAAUAGUUACAAGUAUGAGCAAAGCAACACAAUUCACAUUAACAACAACUGCACCAACUAACAGUCCUAGCCUAUAUGCUAUAAUCAAUUUUGCAAUGUUGUUAUUUUUUAAAAUUUAGCUACAGGUGGGUCAAACAGUACAGUGUACAUUGGUAUAGGAGCUGGUGUAGCACUGAUUGCCAUUGUUAUACUAAUACUCAUUAUUGUUGGUUGUAUGGUCUGGCGUAAACCUUGGAAAAGAGACAAAGAAAACACUACCACCAAUACAGUAAUAUAUGAUACACCAACAGAUACAGUACAGGCGGUUCCUAAUGUACCAGUUAGUAUGAAUACAGCUUAUGGAACAGCCACUGGUAGUAGAGGAGUAGUACGUACUUCAGAUAAUGUUGCUUAUGGUCAUGUGAGUGCUACUAGUAACACUGGAGCAAGGCAACCUGAUACUGUUGUAUAUGAAGCAGUUCAAUAAUGGAAUGUGUUUGUUAUGUAUAGUGACAUGUUCUUACUUUAUCAAUUUUUAUUAUUGUUUUGAAAACUGUAGAA